rnacentral:rRNA from 1 species
GAUGAACGCUAGCGGCAGGCCUAAUACAUGCAAGCCGAACGGCAAGUUUGAUAGCAAUAUUGGACCUAGAGUGGCGCAAGGGUGCGUAACACGUAUGCAACCUGCCCGCGACAGGAGGAUAGCUCCCCGAAAGGGGAAUUAACCCUCCAUAACACCAUGAGAAGGCCUCUGAUUAUGGUUAAACCGCAAGGGGUCGCGGAUGGGCAUGCGGUUGAUUAGCUAGUUGGCGGGGUAAAGGCCCACCAAGGCGGUGAUCAAUAGGGGUUCUGAGAGGAAGGUCCCCCACACUGGCACAGAGAUACGGGUCAGACUCCUACGGGAGGCAGCAGUAGGGAAUAUUGGACAAUGGUUGUAAGACUGAUCCAGCCAGGCCGCGUGCAGGAAGAAGGCCUCCUGGGUCGUAAACUGCUGUUUACUGUGGAUAAAAUACCCGUGCGCGGGGAAUUGAAGGUAACAGGGGAAUAAGCCACGGCUAACUACGUG